rnacentral:rRNA from 1 species
AGGAGUUAUCGCACGUGAACCGCUUCGUGCACAUUCUCCCCCCUUGACCGACCUGCUCCCCGUUUUCCCCUUCCCAGAUUUCUUUCUUCGCUCCUCCCCCGUGGUGAGCUCGCCGUGAUCUGCCUCCGGCGACCGGAAUAGCGUCGAGCGGCCGCUUCCCUUCUCCUCCUACCCACCCCUCUGCACCAGAUCAAGCCACUCGCUCGAGCUGGAUCGGGCCUUCCGGGGGAGGAACGGCGGCCUUGGAGAGAGGGCUGGGGUGGGCGCCUGCGGCGGCGAAGGGGGAGCCGUGCCUUGCCGGCUGCAGCGAAGUUUGGGAGUGGAGGUGGGGCAAAGCAGUGGGUUCAUGCGAGGCCCGGCCGAGGGCGGCCAGUUGGAGCUUUUCCCUAUGAAAGAUCUGCUCAGAUUAGUUGCAGCCUCUCUGGCGGAGCGUACAGUAAACUGUUACUGGGUUCAAGAAGUAUGCUUAUACUAGUAACUGAAUGCCCUGAGCUUGAAAUCUAAUUUACUCGUUUCCCAGGAAGAACUGGUGCAGACAUCCAAGCGUGUUUGGUUAUUGAACCCAUUAGGUUGCAGCGCAGUUUGUACUUCAGCAACAAAAUGAAGCGGAAAUGUUGAUCAUGUGCCACUGGUGUUGGAAUGAGAUAACUUGCACCAUUGGGUGAUAAAAUCAUAAAUGACCUUUUGGGACGGGAAGGAAUCAAAGAACUGUAUCAAUGAACUUCCUACUAGACCUUAAGCAUCUCAAGCACAUUAGCUUGCCGACGAGGCCUGUCAUUUGCAAAUGCCUUCUAGUAGUGAUUGGUCUUAUUGUAUUGAGAGCGAUUGUCUCCCCUUUUCUCGCCAUUAAUUUGUCUGAGAAGAGUUUUUAUGAGCCAUCAACCCUUGACCUGUUUCCUGGAGUUAGGAAAGACAAGUUUGUUGAGGUCCCACAGAUUAUAUGGGGAUUGAACAAUCAGAAGAUCGCAUUUGCCAGGGCAUGCUUGACUGCCAAAUUCCUGAAUCGGUCUCUGCUCAUGCCAAGUCUGAGUGCUUCACUUUUUUACAAAGAGGUUGACUUGCUGCAGCCUAUUCCUUUCGACAAGGUGUUUGACUUCACCAAAUUCAAUGCACGCUGUCAUGGGUUUGCAAGGCUAGCUCGGUACUCCGAGGUUUCGAAUCAUACUGAGCCCUAUAAACUACAAAAGGGAAGUGGUAGGAGGUGGACAGUGGAGAGAGACUUGGAUCAGCUGCAACAGUCCAAAACGGGUGAAGCUGAUGGCUAUCAAGUAAUUCAUGUCACUGGGAAACAUCCGUUUCUGUGGCCUGACCAUUGGCCAGUGAAAAACUAUGCCAAGGUCUUCGAUUGCCUUGCCUUAGCUCCUGAUAUAGAAGCUGAAGUAGUCAAGGUCAUAUCCAAGAUUAAAGAUGCAGGGGAAAAAGCAAGACACGAGGCUGCUAUUUCCCAUAAAAAGAAGAGUAUAGAUGAUGGUUCGUUAAAUCUGCCUGUGCAGUACAUUGCUGUUCACAUGAGAAUAGAGAAGGACUGGAUGAUCCACUGCAAGAAGUGGGAGAAGCGGUCUAACUUGAAGGAAAUCUGCAGCAGCAAAGGAGAGAUCAUUCAUAAGGUCUCACAGAUCACUGAUCUACGCCGGCCGGUUGUGGUUUAUCUUGCUGUAGCCGACAGCCUUCUAGAAGAUGAUUCUGUCACCAGUGGCUGGAGAGUGGGUAUGAUUGCCUAUGAGAAGAAGAAACUCGGAGUUACUGACAUAUACGAGAGGCAGCCUUACCUUCUAAAGUCUGCCAUCGACUUUGAGGUGUGCGCGAGAGCAGAUGUGUUUGUUGGCAAUAGCUUCUCAACAUUUUCCAACCUCGUAGUUUUAUCUAGAACAGAAAGGCUGUAUAAGCUGGGGGUGGAAAGCUCAUGUGGCGAGGAUGUUGGGCUGUCGUCAUAUGCAUACAAUGUUAUUGGAGAUGACGGCGGGCCUCAGAGAUGGAUGACAGAUAUGUUGGACACAAGCCUUCAGCGCAUAAGCUAUGGAACAAAUAACAUCUCCUGCCACUGACAGUUGGUUGACCCACAUAACAUCUGACUGAAACACAAUCGCACACAGGAAGGUGAUUUUUUAGCCGGAUACUGUCUAGAAAUGAGCUUGUCGAUGGUACUUUCCAUGCUAGAAUCUGGGCGGCCACACUAAUGAAAUGAGUUUGGCCAAGAGCUCUCUGUAUUUUGUGAGUGUGUACAAAAGUUGUUUCCUGAGCAGUAUUUUUUUUUAGUUUGCAGAGUUAGACUUGUGUGACAUUUUAUAUGGUUCAUUGGGAGCAACUUGCUUCACAUUAUUAGUAACUUAGACGCUGCAUGCCACUUUCACAUGAACAUGUGUAUGAGGUGCAUUAUUUCACUUAUGUUGUUCCAACAUAUGAAAACUCUCGAUUCUGCAGCACUUUGUAAUUUCCUUAAGAAAGAUUCUUGUUUGGAUGUGCUUUUUC